UACAACAUAGUGUUAAUGCAUUGAAUCCCAUUAGAACUCCUAAAUUAAGUGCGCUCAAGCUAGAGUAAUAUUGGGAUGGGUGACCGUCUCAGAAGUGCUAGUGUUUUAC
rnacentral:rRNA from 1 species